rnacentral:lncRNA from 1 species
UGGGAGCCCAGGCAGAGGAGGCGCCGAGAGUGAGUGAGGGCUGUGAGGACUGCCAGCAUGCUGUCACCUCUCACUGGGAUUGCAGACGUGAGCCACCGGCACCCGACAUAAUUUCAAUGAAAAAUUAAUGAUGAAAAGAGCUAUCAACUUUUAUCCUGGAGAGGGGUACUUACAUCUUACUUUAAUUAUAAUAAGUUCUCUACAUUUCCUGGCCUUUCACCUGUCUCCAUGACUUGUUGCUUCUUACAUUUUUGGACACUAUGUUGUGCACGUGUGGAGAAAAACAUACAUAAAAAUAACACAGAUCGAGUCUAGCUUUGUCGCCCAAGCUGGAGUGCAGUGGCGCAAUCUUGGAUCACUGCAACCUCUGACUUCCGGGUUUAAGAGAUUCUCCUGCCUCAGCCUCCUGAGUAGCUGAGAUUACAAGCGCCUGACAAUAUGCCAGCUAAUUUUUGUAUUUUUAGUAGAGACGGGGUUUUGCCAUGUUGGCCAGGCUGGUCUCAAACUCCUGACCUCAAGUGAUCUGCCUGCCUUGGCCUCCCAAAAUGCCAGGAUUACAGGCAUGAGCCACAGUACCCGGCUGUAAGAUUUAAACAAAAUACAGAGCUGAAAUAUCACAUUUCUUCUUCUCUUCUUCUUUUUUUUUUUUUUUUUUUUUUUUUUAGUUAGAGACAGCAUCUCUCUACAUUGCCCAGACUGGAACUCCUUGGCUCAUGCAGUCCUACUGCAUCAACCACCCUAGUAUUAAUAGCUGAAAUUACAGACACCCAACAGGACACCAAGCACUUACAUUUCUAAUUAGGCCAACAUUUUCUAAAAUACAAACAUAAAUAUUGAGAUAUACAGUGUCUAUAAUGUGACCAAAAAUGGAAUUGUAAUUCAUUCAAUUCAUUAAGCAUUCAAAACAUUGAAUAUGUACCCAUGCUAGUCAAUGUGCUAGGUACUGAUUUGAACUUGGUAUUUAUUUUUAAUCAUUCAUAUUUUAUUUGACCUACAAAAUUGAAAGUAAGACAGAAAAACUCCAGUAUAUAAUGUUAAUGAAACAAAAUGUUCAGCACAGUAAUGAAGCAUUAAUGGGAGAAAUUCCUGUUUUAUACAAAAUGUAUGACACAUUUAUUCAGCUUGAUGAAAAUGCUUACUGUGAAUUUACGCAUUUUCUUAACAUUUGCAAAUUCAGCAGUUACUGCAUGACAUCCUCUAAUUUAUAAAAAGAAUCUAGUCACGACAUUGAGAUAAAAUGUAAAUUGCUCAUUUUCAGGUAAUAGAAUGUAGUUUUAAUGUUAACAUGUCAUUUGAGGUAAUGUAAUUACUAUAUCCUAUAAAUCAUAAUCUAUAAGACACUUUUAUAUUCUCAAUGUACAACAAUUUUCAGACAAAUAUGUUUUGCUUCUCAAUAAAUCCUGCUUCUUUUUUUUAUUUAUACCAGUUUCUUUCGAAAAUAAUGUAUUUUCUAAUAUAUGUUCUGCGUCAUCCAUAAUGCAAAACAAUUCCAUUAUUGCAAAGCAAUUGAAGGAGAAGGAUUCUAAAAGUUAUUCCCAAAAUACGUCAUCUAAGUAAAAUUACAGUUUGUUUCAAAAUGAUAUUUCUACCUUUAAAACAAAUAACCUGGUUUAACAAAAGUAACAGAGGAUUUGGAUAGAUGUUUCUCCAAGUAAGACCUACAAAUGGCUACCAAGUACAUGAAAAGGGCAUCAGCAUUACUAAUCAUCCAGGAAAUGCAGAUAAAAUCCAUAAUGAAACAAAAUACUACCUCACACUUGUUAGAAUGACUAUCGUUUUUUAAAUGAAUGAGUGAAAAACAAGUAUUGAUGAGGAUGAGGUAAAAUUUGAGCCAUUAUAUAAUGUUGGGAAUGAAGAAUGGUGGAGCCACCAUGGAAAACCAUAUGGAAUUUCCUCAAAAAAUUUAAAAAAAGAACUACUAUGUGAUUUAGCAAUCACACUUCUCAUUAUAUAUCCAAAGGGAUUAAAAUCAAGAUCUUGAAGACAUAUCUGCCCCCCCAUGUUCAUUGCAGCAUUAUUUAUAAUAGCCAAAAUAUAGAAACAACUCAAAUAUCCAUCAACAGAUGAAUAGAAAAAGAAAUUUUGGUUAUAAAUGCACAGUGGAAAGUUAUUCAACCUUAAAAAAGAUGAAAAUCCUACUGUUUGCAACAACGUAUUUAAAUUUAUAGGGCAUUAUCCUAAGUGAGAUAAACUAGUCACAGGACAAAUACGAUUCCACUUUUAUGAGGUAUCUAAAUAGUAAAACUCACAGAAACAGACAAUACAAUGGUGGUGCCAGGAACUAGCAGAAGGGGAAAAUGAAGAAUUGAUUUUCAAUGGAUAUAAAAUUUUUGUAAUACAAAAUGAAUUAAUUUGAGAUAUCUGCUGCCUGUAUGGUCUCUAUAGUUAACAAUACUGUAUUGUUCAUUUAAAAAUAUAAGAAUAUAUAUAUCAUAUUUAAAGUUCUUAUAAAAUAAGCAAAAACAUCCAGCAGUAAAACACAAGCAAAUUAUUUGAAGUGAAGGAUAUGUUUACUGCCUUGAUUAUGGUGAUAGUAAUCACAGAUGUAUGCAUAUAUCCAAACUAGUCAGAUGCAUACGUUAAAUGUGUGGAAUUUUUUAUACAUCAACUAUAACUCAAUAAAGCUAAAAAGAAUUACCUUCGAGUAUGGGAUAAGAUUGAAAGGAAAAUAAUAGAUCUUGAAAAGUUUAACUGUUUUAAUAAGAAGAACAUCUUAAAAUGUAUGCAGACUUCCUUACAAUUCUUCUGAAUGUGAAUGCCAGAAGACAUAAACAUUCUCUUCUCAUCAAGCUGUCUUUAGCCUAUCUUGUAUUGAAUUUCUACCUAAUUCCUCUGUAAAGAUGACAUCUCCCAAGUUUCUCUAAACUUAGUUACCAAGACGUGUGAAUUUCAUGACCUCAUUUUUACUCACUCUGAAAGUUAACAUAAGUUUCAUAGUAUGUCUCUCCCUCUUCUCACACAACCCCCUUCUUUUCCUUUCUGUGAUUCUCUUCUUUUUAUUAUAAAUUAUAACAUUUUUCUAAGGUUUUUACUAUUUUAGGUUAAAUCAUUAGACAGUUUUUGUUAUAAAAUACAAAAUGAAUGGCCUAAGGUUUUGCUGAAAAUUUUUGAGACCUCUUGAAUGUCUUUUAUUGCUUUUUCAUCUAUUUCAAUACUUCUGUAACCUUAAGGAAAAUAUAAUAUUUACUACUGUUUAUGCCACUAAAAAUUCCCAUGGAUUUCUAAUAUAUUACAUUAAUAAAAUAAUAUGCAAAAUGUCCUAAAAU